AGGAUUCUCCCAGUAACGGCGAGUGAACGGAGAUUAGCCCAUCACCGAAGUCUAUUCGUGUUUGCGAACAGGACAAUGUGGUGUUCGGGCAUGCGCCCUGGCAUCGUUGACCAGCCCUAAGUCCAACUCCGAUUGCGGCUUUGGAUAUUGUCCAUAGCGGGUGAAAGACCCGUUCGGGCUGGUUUUGUUGUAUAUAUAAAUGAUGCCCAGAUGCGUGUGCUUUCGAGUCGGAUUGCUUGAGAAUGCAGUCCAAAGAGGGUGGUAAACUCCAUCCAAGGCUAAAUACUGGCACGAGUCCGAUAGUAGACAAGUACCGUGAGGGAAAGUUGAAAAGUACUCUGAAGAGAGAGUAAAUAGUACGUGAAACCGCUUGCAUGGAAUCGGAUGGAGUCAAGCUUCAUGCCUUGAAGAUUGUUGUCCAAUCGUUAUUGUGUCAGGACGUGUAGUAACGCAACUUGGAAUAAGUUGGAUGCACCUGUUGCAUUUCAAGUCUAUCCGGGUAGCUGGUUUGUCUUUACUACUAUCUCCUAGAUUGGAUAGCGUUUUUUUCUUGGCAUAAAUCAAGGCUUCUAGUGGUAUAUGUCACAUGAUAAUCUAACAGCAUUCGAGUCAUUCUACUUUGGCUUGAUGUUGAAUGGAAGGUCGUUCUAUUAGCGUUUUCCAAUGCUAAUGGAGUUUAUAAUGGUUUUGACCAUCUGAUUAUCAUGUUUCUCUGUAUAUUAUCACUAGAUGUAUAUAUGUAUAUAAUGGGUAAUCUAUAUGAUUGCCUGUUUAUCAAGGCCUUGAUUCUGAGGUAGA
rnacentral:rRNA from 1 species